UUAUUAUAGCGUGCGUGAUUUCUCGACACUUUUCUAAGUCUAAAGUUAAUUUCGACUUUGGAAAGUGUCGAGAAAUACUCACGGAUUCAAAUUUACUUUUUCUUUGUAUAUUACAUUGCAGAAUUUUCAUUACUCAUCGUCAAUGUUAAUCAAAUACGUCCCUUUGUUCAGAUCGAUGAUUUGAGUAUGGAUGACUACAUCAAAGUAUGUUUGACGGGGUCAAAUUGAAAGACAUAUAUCAAGUAUAUAUAUUAUGUCUUAUCUGCAAUACUUAGAGUCACAACUCGGAAGGUCAUUUUAUUCAUAGAUGGAGAGUAAUGCAAGAGGUGGCCAUCUCUUACAACUCAACUAUGCUAUGCAACUUCUUAAUUUGUUGCGUAUAAUAUAUAGCAUGGCUAAAACUUAUCUUCUUAUUUUGAUAUUCACUUUUUUUUUUUAUCUUUUUUUAGUCAUUUUAUAAUGGCAGAAGCUUUUAAUUAUGUCACUAUUAUGGAGGUGGUACACGUUGUGGUGUGGGAACUCUCUUCAUUUCCAAAAGUCAAAGAAGAGUGCAUAGGAAUUUGAUGAUUAGCAAUCCAAGAUGUAGGCAUAUUUUCUUAAGGUUCAAAUGCACUAGUCUAUAAUCUGAACUUUUGCUUUAUGCCCACCUACAAUCUUAUUAAGGAGCAGCUGGAUUAUUGGAGAUUGAUUGAAGAUUUUUUUUUUUGUGUGUGAAGAAAUGAGCUUGUCUGCUAGACAAGACGACAAAUGUGCUGUUAAAAUCCAUAACUAAUUUCUUAGAAACAUUUUUGUGCUAUUUUUUCUUGUAUGAAUAUUCCAGUGUAAGGAAAGAUAUUAGUAAAGUUAUAUAAUAAAAUGAGA